GCUCACUUUGGCAAAACAUAUAUUAAAAUUGGAAUGAUACAUAGAAGAUUAGCAUGGCCCCUGCACAAGGAUGACACGCAAAUUCCUGAAGUGUUCCAUAUUAUA